GCCGCCGCCGUCCGCAUCAGCAUCACCUUAUAUCGCCGGAGAACCGCAUCCACCGCAUCCCAUCGCAUCGGAGAGAGUAGAGGAGAGAAUCGGCGUCGGCGGCGUCAAAGAUGGUGUGCAUCCGGCAGGCGACCAUCGAUGACCUGCUGGCGAUGCAGGCGUGCAACCUGAUGUGCCUGCCGGAGAACUACCAGAUGAAGUACUACCUCUACCACAUGCUCUCGUGGCCGCAGCUGCUCUUCGUGGCGGAGGACUACGGCGGCCGCAUCGUCGGCUACGUGCUCGCCAAGAUGGAGGAGGACCCCUCGGAGCCCUGCCACGGCCACAUCACCUCCCUCGCCGUCCUCCGCUCCCACCGCAAGCUGGGUCUCGCCACCAAGUUAAUGUCCGCCGCGCAAGCUGCCAUGGACCAGGUCUUCGGCGCCGAGUACGUCUCCCUCCACGUCCGCCGAUCCAACCGUGCCGCCUUCAACCUGUACACGUCCACCCUCGGCUACCAGAUCCACGACAUCGAGGCCAAGUACUACGCUGACGGGGAGGACGCGUUCGACAUGCGCAAGCCGCUGCGGCAGCGGCAGGCCAAGAAGCACCAUCACCAUGGUCAUCACCACCACCACGGCCCCGGCGGGUGCUGCUCCCACGACGCUCCUGUGGCUGCUGCUUGUUCUUCUCAGUCUUCUAAUUCGCCGGAUAAGAAGCCUAACACUUGACUGCGGGGUUUUGAUAUAGAAUGGGAUCAUUUUGCACACUCCAGAGUGACCUAUGAUGAGUUGCCCAAUACGUGAGAUGUAGGUAACUUCAAGUCCCUGUUUCAGGGAGAACCUACUUGAGGUCCUGCAUUCGAAUGAAAUGCAUGGGCAUUUACUGAGAGCCUAAUCUAUUAGGAGGAACAGCUGAGCCCUGCACACAUCUUGUAUUCUCCUUGGAUAAAAGUUCGGAGAAGUUCUUUACUGUGAUUAUAUUUGUUUGUAGCUGUCGGUUGGCCAGACCAUUCAAACUGUUGGAGCGAGUGCCCUGUAUUGUCUGAGAAUGUCAUGCAAAUAUUUUUACCUGACAUUGCUAUCUUGUUUGUAACAUUUGCCCAGAGCAGGCUUUCUGAAACGACCGGAAAACUGUGUAGCUGAAUUUGCAAUAGCACAGAGAUAGUAUGUUGCAGAGCGCAUUUGUUGCU